rnacentral:rRNA from 1 species
UACAGAGGUCUCAAGCGUUGUUCGGAAUCACUGGGCGUAAAGGGUGCGUAGGCGGCGGGGAAAGUCAGAUGUGAAAUCCGGAGGCUCAACCUCCGAAUGGCAUCCGAUACUCCCUCGCUAGAGAGUUGUAGAGGAGCUUGGAAUUCUCGGUGUAGCAGUGAAAUGCGCAGAUAUCAGGAAGAACACCCGUGGCGAAGGCGGCUCUCUGGGACGGUACUGACGCUGAGACGCGAAAGCGUGGGGAGCGAACAGG